GACGAACGCUGGCGGCGUGCCUAAUACAUGCAAGUAGAACGCACAGUUUAUACCGUAGCUUGCUACACCAUAGACUGUGAGUUGCGAACGGGUGAGUAACGCGUAGGUAACCUGCCUGGUAGCGGGGGAUAACUAUUGGAAACGAUAGCUAAUACCGCAUAAUAUUGAUUAUUGCAUGAUAAUUGAUUGAAAGAUGCUAUUGCAUCACUACCAGAUGGACCUGCGUUGUAUUAGCUAGUAGGUGAGGUAACGGCUCACCUAGGCGACGAUACAUAGCCGACCUGAGAGGGUGAUCGGCCACACUGGGACUGAGACACGGCCCAGACUUCUACGGGAGGCAGCAGUAGGGAAUCUUCGGCAAUGGACGAAAGUCUGACCGAGCAACGCCGCGUGAGUGAAGAAGGUUUUCGGAUCGUAAAGCUCUGUUGUAAGAGAAGAACGGGUGUGAGAGUGGAAAGUUCACACUGUGACGGUAUCUUACCAGAAAGGGACGGCUAACUACGUG
rnacentral:rRNA from 1 species